UCACCUGGUGGCACUCAAAUGUAGGAGCGCUCUUCUGAUCUGGUUUAAGUGGAAAGUGUUGCAUCGUUUGGGUGUCAUCUGUGG
rnacentral:pre_miRNA from 1 species